UACGUAGGGGGCAAGCGUUGUCCGGAAUCAUUGGGCGUAAAGAGCGUGUAGGCGGCCCGAUAAGUCCGCUGUGAAAGUCCAGGGCUCAACCCUGGGAUGCCGGUGGAUACUGUCGGGCUCGAGUCCGGAAGAGGAGUGUGGAAUUCCUGGUGUAGCGGUGAAAUGCGCAGAUAUCAGGAGGAACACCAAUGGCGAAGGCAGCACCUCUGGGACGUGACUGACGCUGAGACGCGAAAGCGUGGGGAGCAAACAGG
rnacentral:rRNA from 1 species